rnacentral:piRNA from 1 species
GAGGUCAAGUGUCUGGAUGGACCUU